rnacentral:rRNA from 1 species
CACCGGGAUGUUCAUAACCCUUUGUUGUCCGACUCUGUUGCCUCCGGGGCGACCCUGCCUUCGGGCGGGGGCUCCGGGUGGACACUUCAAACUCUUGCGUAACUUUGCAGUCUGAGUAAACUUAAUUAAUAAAUUAAAACUUUUAACAACGGAUCUCUUGGUUCUGGCAUCGAUGAAGAACGCAGCGAAAUGCGAUAAGUAAUGUGAAUUGCAGAAUUCAGUGAAUCAUCGAAUCUUUGAACGCACAUUGCGCCCCCUGGUAUUCCGGGGGGCAUGCCUGUUCGAGCGUCAUUUCACCACUCAAGCCUCGCUUGGUAUUGGGCAACGCGGUCCGCCGCGUGCCUCAAAUCGACCGGCUGGGUCUUCUGUCCCCUAAGCGUUGUGGAAACUAUUCGCUAAAGGGUGUUCGGGAGGCUACGCCGUAAAACAACCCCAUUUCUAAGGUUGACCUCGGAUCAGGUAGGGAUACCCGCUGAACUUAAGCAUAUCAAUAGGCGGAGGAA